rnacentral:rRNA from 1 species
GACGAACGCUGGCGGCGUGCCUAAUACAUGCAAGUAGAACGCUGAAGGAGGGGCUUGCUUCUCCGGAUGAGUUGCGAACGGGUGAGUAACGCGUAGGUAACCUGCCUGGUAGCGGGGGAUAACUAUUGGAAACGAUAGCUAAUACCGCAUAAGAGUAGAUGUCGCAUGACAUUUGCUUAAAAGGUGCAGCUGCACCACUACCAGAUGGACCUGCGUUGUAUUAGCUAGUUGGUGAGGUAACGGCUCACCAAGGCAACGAUACAUAGCCGACCUGAGAGGGUGAUCGGCCACACUGGGACUGAGACACGGCCCAGACUCCUACGGGAGGCAGCAGUAGGGAAUCUUCGGCAAUGGACGGAAGUCUGACCGAGCAACGCCGCGUGAGUGAAGAAGGUUUUCGGAUCGUAAAGCUCUGUUGUAAGAGAAGAACGAGUGUGAGAGUGGAAAGUUCACACUGUGACGGUAUCUUACCAGAAAGGGACGGCUAACUACGUG